rnacentral:rRNA from 1 species
GAUGAACGCUGGCGGCGUGCUUAACACAUGCAAGUCGAACGGGAUCCAAGGGGUGCUUGCACUUUUUGGUGAGAGUGGCGAACGGGUGAGUAACACGUGAGUAACCUGUCCUUUUCUUUGGGAUAAGCAUUCGAAAGGGUGUUUAAUACCUUAUGUUCUGUCUGCCUCGCAUGGGGUGGGUGGGAAAGGCUUUGGCCGGAUUUGGGUGGGCUCGCGGUCUAUCAGCUUGUUGGUGGGGUGAUGGCUUACCAAGGCUUUGACGGGUAGCCGGCCUGAGAGGGUGGUCGGUCACAUGGGGACUGAGAUACGGCCCAGACUCCUGCGGGAGGCAGCAGUGGGGGAUAUUGCACAAUGGGCGAAAGCCUGAUGCAGCGACGCCGCGUGGGGGAUGAAGGCCUUCGGGUUGUAAACUUCUUUUGCUCUGAACAAGGCAUGCCAGUGGGUGUGUUGAGUGUAGGGGUUGAUUAGCGCCGGCUAACUACGUG